GAGACAAGCAUAUGACUACUGGCAGGAUCAACCAGGUAGCAUUCCUUUGGGACAUGCACACACACUCGCAUGAGCCCCGCCAAACCGUGAGGCUGCGAGCUCAAAGACGAGCAUUGGCCGUCGUUCAUGCUUAGGCAGUUUUGCAUUGCUUCAUUGGAUGGAGGCCUCCGAGAGCCCACCCACCCAAAGCACACAACAUUCCGCAUCAGAGAGCACGGGCAAACAACCUCAUGGGCCAAAGCAGCUGCCAGAUUGGGCAAAGCAUGCUGGAAACACGAGGCUUGCCUAACGUCUACCCAAUCGCCCAUUAGGCAACAGGGCAGAGAGAAACAAACGAACCAUCAAAUUCCUUCCAACAGGUAAGCAACACAGGAUACCGAA
rnacentral:misc_RNA from 1 species